GGGGAUAAGCGGAAGAAAUUCCGUCUAAUACCGCGUAAUAACUCCGAGGGGCAUCUCUUGGGGUUUAAAGGGUAACACCGGCUACGGAUGGCCAUGCGGCGCAUUAGCUAGUUGGCGGGGUAACGGCCCACCAAGGCGACGAUGCGUAGGGGUUCUGAGAGGAAGGUCCCCCACACUGGUACUGAGACACGGACCAGACUCCUACGGGAGGCAGCAGUGAGGAAUAUUGGUCAAUGGGCGCGAGCCUGAACCAGCCAAGUCGCGUGAGGGAAGACGGUCCUAUGGAUUGUAAACCUCUUUUGUCGGGGAGCAAAAGACGCCACGCGUGGCGUUCCGAGAGUACCCGAAGAAAAAGCAUCGGCUAACUCCGUGCCAGCAGCCGCGGUAAUACGGAGGAUGCGAGCGUUAUCCGGAUUUAUUGGGUUUAAAGGGUGCGCAGGCGGAAGAUCAAGUCAGCGGUAAAAUUGAGAGGCUCAACCUCUUCGAGCCGUUGAAACUGGUUUUCUUGAGUGAGCGAGAAGUAUGCGGAAUGCGUGGUGUAGCGGUGAAAUGCAUAGAUAUCACGCAGAACUCCGAUUGCGAAGGCAGCAUACCGGCGCUCAACUGACGCUCAUGCACGAAAGUGUGGGUAUCGAACAGGAUUAGAUACCCUGGUAGUCCACACAGUAAAC
rnacentral:rRNA from 1 species